rnacentral:rRNA from 1 species
CGGACGGGUGAGUAACGCGUGGGUAACCUGCCUCAUACAGGGGGAUAACAGUUAGAAAUGACUGCUAAUACCGCAUAAGACCACAGCACCGCAUGGUGCAGGGGUAAAAACUCCGGUGGUAUGAGAUGGACCCGCGUUGGAUUAGCUAGUUGGCAGGGUAACGGCCUGCCAAGGCGACGAUCCAUAGCCGGCCUGAGAGGGUGAACGGCCACAUUGGGACUGAGACACGGCCCAA